rnacentral:rRNA from 1 species
CAAACGACUCUCGGCAACGGAUAUCUCGGCUCACGCAUCGAUGAAGAACGUAGCAAAAUGCGAUACUUGGUGUGAAUUGCAGAAUCCCGUGAACCAUCGAGUUUUUGAACGCAAGUUGCGCCGGAAGCCAUCCGGCCGAGGGCACGCCUGCCUGGGCGUCACGC